AGUGAACGCUGGCGGUAGGCCUAACACAUGCAAGUCGAACGGCAGCACAGUAAGAGCUUGCUCUUACGGGUGGCGAGUGGCGGACGGGUGAGGCAUACAUCGGAAUCUACUUUUUCUUGGGUGAUAACGUAGGGAAACUUACGCUAAUACCGCAUACGACCUACGGGUGAAAGCAGGGGAUCUUCGGACCUUGCGCGAUUGAAUGAGCCGAUGUCGGAUUAGCUAGUUGGCGGGGUAAAGGCCCACCAAGGCGACGAUCCGUAGCUGGUCUGAGAGGAUGAUCAGCCACACUGGAACUGAGACACGGUCCAGACUCCUACGGGAGGCAGCAGUGGGGAAUAUUGGACAAUGGGCGAAAGCCUGAUCCAGCCAUACCGCGUGAGUGAAGAAGGCCUUCGGGUUGUAAAGCCCUUUUGUUGGGAAAGAAAAGCAGCAGGUUAAUACCCCGAUGUUCUGACGGUACCCAAAGAAUAAGCACCGGCUAACUUCGUG
rnacentral:rRNA from 1 species